AAAAUACUCCCUCCGUUCGAAAUUACUUGUCAUUAAAAUGGAUGUAUCUAGAACUAAAAUACAUCUAAAUACAUCCAUUUGAAUGACAAGUAUUUCCGAACGGAGGGAGUACAAA
rnacentral:pre_miRNA from 1 species